rnacentral:lncRNA from 1 species
GGGGGCUCCUUUUAAUUUUAGUGGAACUUAUGGAAGAGAAUUCUUUUUUUUUUUUUUAAUGAUAUUUAUUAAAGCUUCACACAAAAAAAAGAAUCACAUUAAUAAGACAGAAGAAUUUCAGAAUAAAAAGAAAAAUACACAAUACCAAAUACAAAAAAAGAAAGAAAGAAAAAACAGUUAAAAACAAUUCCGUCUUUUCAUUACUUCUUUUACAUUUACUUGUUUGCCGGACUUCCUCAUACCUCCCUCUUUUGUAUUCCAAUUCAGUUUGUUAGUCCAGCAAUUUCUUUCCCUCCUUUUUAAUCCUGUUCUUUAAUCUUAAUAUAUUAUAACAUUAAAUUUUUACCUAUUAAAAACCCAUUUUUCCAUUCUUUUAACCAUUACUGCUAGAAACCGCUUAACUUCAAUCCAACAUCAUUCUAACAUUCAUUAAUUUUACAAUAUUUCUGUAAAUAGUCUUUAAAUUUCUUCCAAUCUUCUUCCACCGACUCUUCUCCCUGGUCUCGGAUUCUGCCAGUCAUUUCCGCCAAUUCCAUAUAGUCCAUCAUUUUCAUCUGCCAUUCCUCCAGUGUGGGUAGAUCUUGUGUCUUCCAAUGCUUUGCAAUAAGUAUUCUUGCUGCUGUUGUAGCAUACAUAAAGAAAGUUCUGUCCUUCUUUAACACCGAUUGGUCGACUAUGCCCAGGAGAAAGGCCUCUGGUUUCUUCAAGAAGGUAUAUUUAAAUACCUUUUUAAUUCAUUAUAAAUCAUCUCCCAGAAAACCUUAAUCCUUGGGCACGUCCACCAAAGGUGAAAGAAUGUACCUUCAGUUUCUUUACAUUUCCAACAUUUAUUAUCGGGCAAAUGGUAGAUUUUUGCAAGCUUGACUGGGGUUAUGUACCACCUGUAUAUCAUUUUCAUAAUAUUCUCUCUUAGGGCAUUACAUGCUGUAAACUUCAUACCUGUGGUCCAUAACUGUUCCCAGUCAGCAAACAUAAUAUUAUGUCCAACAUCUUGUGCCCAUUUAAUCAUAGCAGAUUUCACCGUUUCAUCCUGAGUAUUCCAUUUCAGCAGCAAGUUAUACAUUCUUGACAAAUUCUUAGUUUUGGGUUCUAACAAUUCUGUUUCUAAUUUUGAUUUUUCCACCUGGAAGCCAGUUUUCUUGUCCAAAUUGUAUGCCUCCAUUAUCUGAUAAUAAUGAAGCCAGUCUCGCACUUUGUUUUUUAGUUUUUCAAAACUCUGCAGUUUCAAUCUAUCUCCAUCUUGUUCUAAAAUUUCCCAAUAUUUCGCCAUUUGACCUCCAUAUUGAGCUUUUUCAAGGCUUUCGCUUCCAUCGGUGACAGCCACCUUGGGGUUUUAUUUUCCAAUAAGUCCUUAUAUCUUAUCCAAACAUUAAACAAAGCUUUCCUAACAAUAUGAUUUUUAAAUGCUUUAUGUGCUUUGAUCUUAUCAUACCACAAAUAUGCAUGGCAUCCAAAUACAUUGUUAAAACCUUCUAGAUCCAAAAUGUCAGUGUUUUCAAGAAGCAGCCAUUCUUUCAACCAGCAAAAAGCUGCUGAUUCAUAAUAAAGUUUAAGGUCUGGCAGGGCAAAUCCACCUCUUUCCUUUGCAUCUGUUAGUAUUUUAAAUUUUAUUCUGGGCUUCUUGCCCUGCCAGACAAAUCUAGAAAUAUCUCUCUGCCACCUCUUGAAACAGUCCAUUUUGUCCACUAUUUGCAAUGUUUGAAACAAGAACAACAUUCUAGGCAAUACAUUCAUUUUUACCGCAGCAAUACGGCCCAGCAGUGAAAGCUUCAAAUUUGACCAAAUUUCUAAAUCUUUUUUCACUUCAGCCCAACAUUUUUCAUAGUUAUCUUUAAAUAAAUUCCCAUUUUUUGCUGUCAUGUUAAUCCCCAGGUAUUUCACUUUCUUAACCACAGUCAGACCUGUCUCAUUUUGAAACCUCUCUCUUUCGAUCGGUGUUAAAUUUUUCUCUAAAACCUUAGUUUUUAACUUGUUCAAUUUAAAUCCUGCCACUUGACCAAAUUCUUGCCUACAUGUUACACUACAAGUUAGAUUGCCUACAUGAUCCUGCAAUGACUCCAAACAACCCUUUAAACGCCUCCAAGCAGAUAGACUGCCCACAUGAUCCUGCAACGACUUCAAAUACUCCCUUGCCAGGAGGCAAAUCGCUGUUGGAUAUGACCUCCAGCCCAGAUGGCCUCUCUCCUUACCCCGACCCUCAUCGUAAAUCUUUGUGUGAUAUAGUACAAUCAGCGGAGCUGAGGACUUUGCAGAAAUAUUGCCUUCACUUGGCUGACGAAAUAAAGGUGCUAUCAGCUUCCAUCAAUAUGUUAGAGAGAAAACUAAAUGCCUUCACCAAAACCCCUGCCUCGAUUUUGAAGCCGCCAUUAAAUCAACAGGGACCUGAUAAUUAUGAGGCACAGAGCCUAAGUAGGGGGCAGCAGCCAGUAAACCUCCAACUCACCCCUAACAAUAUAUGCUUGAACAUUGCUCACUCCUGCUUCCCCUAUUAUGCCUGGAGAAAUCGUAAAGCUGCUGUGAUCUCAUUGCGACUGUUGACCAGGUCUUACUUGGCCCAGGGUGGUCUCCUAUCAUUAGAAUGGCUGCCAGAGACACCAAAAUUUAAGCGCUUGUUGCUCAAGUUUGACUCUCCCAGGCUUCCUGCACUUUUGAGCAAACUUCAAAAUCGUCUCAACUGGUUUGGAAUCUUUCCACAAAGAUGCUUCUUUAACAAUUGUAGGGGCAUUAUUGGGAAAAUCCCAAACUCAGCAAAUUUGGUUAGCCGGCCUACAAGGAGGACUGAGGACCGGAAUUCGCAGCAACGGACCCUUCCUAUGAACCCCUCCCCACGAUUUACUAGCCGACCAUCCCACCGGCAAGAAGGGACUGCCUUAAGGGGUAGAGCUUUGAUGGGUCCAGCUUCGGCCACUAUAGAUGCUUCUAAAGAUUGGCAGACACAAGCCCAUGUGGACCCCCCGGCAGCAAAAACGAUCUCCAAUCCUUAAAAUGGCUACAUUCCUUGUGCUGAUACCAUGACGACGCAAGAGACACUGGGGGAUCCAGUAGCCCUUUGGACAAACACUGAGGCAGUGGCAAGGCUAAACAAGCUACUGGAAGCUAACCGAAAGGAUGUCUCUCUUCUUUCUUACAUAGUGCUUUCCCAUCAACUAGCCUCAAUCCUCAAGGCACGACUCCUGCAACUACAGAGCAUACGGUAAACGACGAGUCUAUGGACUUGUCGGUUAGUAACACCCCCUCGUAUCAAGACUUUCCCUCACAGCGAUCUGUAAAUUCGCCCCAGCCACUGGCUGCUCCUGUGACAUGUGACAACUUGAACCCGAAGUGCAAACAAUUAAAAAUCACUGCCUUUUUUCACCCUACUGCCCCUUCAUGCUGUGUGCACCCCCAUUUGGAUUUUCCAGGAUUAACCAUGCAAGAGAAAGCAUGACUUGAGGGAAACACAAAGCGGCCUCUUACACUACUAUCAUGGAAUGUGGCUGGUAUUAAAUCCAAACUGACAGAUCCAUCAUUUGUUGCUUAUAUAAAUGGCAGCCACAUCCUCCUAUUCCAAGAGUCAUGGGCCUGUGAGGACUUCUAUCUAUCAGGAUACAAGGGCUUCUACCUGAAUGCCACGCAGAAUUCGCUAUCACAUGGUAGACCGCAAGGAGGCUUGGCUACUUUUGUUUCCUUAGCCAUAAAUCUUCAGGCCGAAAAAAUCGACAUCCAGUCGUCACUCAUGCUGAUUAUAAAGUUGCAAACAGCAGAGGAAACGAUAGUAGUGAUCAAUAUCUACUUAUGUCCAAUUUAUAAGAGAAAUCUGAUUGAUCUGAGAUGGCAGGAAAUUCAAGUGACAUUGGAAACACUUUUUGAUAAAUACCCCGAAGCCACCUUUUUGUUGGCGGGAGAUUUUAACGGACGCCUGUCGCACACUGACCAAAUCUUAUUCUCUAAAUUUAGCAAGUACCCUUCUUCACCUCUUAUGACUACAGAUCUUUUACCAAGGAAAUUCAAAGAUAACAUAGCCACGUACGCAGGUUUCAAAUGCAGGCAAACCUUGCUGGCCCUCAAUUUCCUCCUGCUAAAUGGGGCAAUCAGCUCGGACUACCCUGCCGAAUUCACCUAUUGGUCAGGUUCACGUGCAUCCACUAUUGAUUUUGUAUGGAUAUCUCCUGACCUUACCCCAAAAAUAUCCAGCUUUAAGGUGGCUUCAAGAUUGGAGAGUGACCACUUCCCUCUAGAAAUUUCCUUGACUUUGGCUGACGAUCUUGAUAGGCACUCCUUUGUGCACCUAUCAAAUGACCAUCUGGAGAUAAGACCUACAGCCCUUAAAUGGACCUCCAAUUCAGCCCAGCAGCUGAACGAACUUCUCUGGUCUGACCAGCUCCAAAUAAAAAGAGCUUCCCUUAUGCAGGCGGAUGAGCCUCUACCAAUAUAUGACGAUUUAGUAGAACUUCUAAAACCAACACUAGCUCGGUCCCCCACAAAGCAUGGUAAACAGUUUUUCCACUAAAAUGGUUCGAUGAGGAAUGCAAAAACCUCAAGAAUCAUCUGUAUAAUGAAUGGUUGGCAUACAGAGCAUCAAAUGACCCCAUGCCAAAUAACCGUCUUAUCGCCCUCAGGAGAAGUUAUAAAGCCCUACUAAAGGAAAAGAAGCUCGAGGCAGAAAGAAACAAUUGGAACAACCUCUUGAUAGCUGCAGAGAAUAGAAAUCCAGCCUCUUUUUGGCAGUUAAUUUCCAGAUACCUGGGUAGGCCGCUUGCAAGAAUAGAACCCCACAUCUCAGCGGACACUUGGGAAAGAUACUUCGCCGAUCUGUAUGCAGCUCAUGAUGCCUGCGGAGAUACGGUGGAGCCGGAAGCACUGCCCGAUUGGGACCCAGUUACAUGCCCUGAAGUUGAAACUCUCAUAGAUCGAUUUAAAGCAGGCAAGGCCCCCGGUGAUGACCUUAUAUCCAUUGAUGUCAUCAAAGCAAAUAAAGAUUGGUGGAUCCCACUUUUAGCAGCACUUUACACGCAUAUAAACAAAACAGCAAAAUUCCCCUCAAGCUGGAGCUCUGCGUUGAUUGUAUUAAUACAUAAGAAAGGACCACGUACAGAGCCGAGCAACUUUAGGCCAAUCAGCUUGCUAAAUGUCAUAGGGAAGAUUUACUCGGGGUACCUGCUAAACAAACUAUCGAAAUGGAUGGAGGAUGACAAUAUCAUUGCCGAUGAACAGGCGGGUUUUCGCCCUGGAAGAUCUACCACAGACCAAAUACUAACCUUGAAUCACCUGGCGGAAAAGUAUGCCGGCAAAGCCCCAAAGGUUCUUCAUGUGGCUUUUAUUGACCUUAAGCAGGCAUUUGAUCGAAUCUCUAGAAAGCAGCUAUGGACAAAACUGGCUGCUACAAAGAUCGAUCGUCGUCUCCUUCAUCUGAUUAUCAGCCUCCAUACAAACACCUUUCUGAGAAUCAGGCUAGACAAUAAAGGCCUAGUCUCCAACCCUGUUACCACCACCAGAGGGGUAAGACAGGGUUGUCUAUUGGCCCCAGCAUUGUUUAAUUUUUACAUUAACUCACUGGUGACUCACAUGGCCAAUGAUGCUUUCCACCCCCAAAUUAGCAGGCCGAUCUCUGAACGUUCUUCUGUAUGCGGAUGACGCCGCACUUCUUGCCAGAUCCCCUAUUGGACUGAGGAGAAUGUUGCAAGCUCUACAUGAAUACUGUGAUCAGCAUGAGCUCCAACCCAACUAUGCUAAGACCAAGAUCAUGGUCUUCUCUGCCCGACCGAGACUCCAUCGAUGGUCGAUGAACGGGACCCCCCUAGAGCAGGUUAACUGCUUUAAAUAUCUGGGACAAGUAAUACGGUCAAAUAGGUCUUUUCUGGCCCAUAGAGACUAUAUAACAACUAACGCAUCUAAAGCAGCCAUCCAGAUUAGAUCUCUAUAUGCUAAGAAUCAGGCUCAAUCAGUGAAGAUAGCUUUGAGACUCUUUCAAAUGAAAGUCCUCCCCCUUCUCUUGGUGGGCAUCUCUUUAGGCUCCCGUAGGGAUUUUUUGAAACUGGAUUCUAUCCAAACGAGAUUCCUUAGAGCCAUCCUCAGGAUUCCCCCCUCGGUAGCGGGUGCGGUUAUGAGAUUAGAGGUCGGCUGGCAAGCUCUACGGUAUGUGGCCUUGAAGACGAAGCUCUGGCUAUGGCUCAAGCUUUGUUUUAAACCAGUGGGUAUUGCCCCCUUGAUAUUGAGGGAUGAUUUCCAAUCAUCGUGGGAAAGGGAGGCCAUUAAUGAGGUUCAAUCCUGCGGAUUGUCUCACCUCUACUUUGAGUCUAUGACGUACAAUCAAGCUAGAGCUGUGAUCUCCCGGAGACUGAGUGACAUUGCCAGACAAGAGGACAUAGCCCAGGUAAAACCAGGGAUGUUCCUAGGGGACCAGAUUUAUCGGACCAUACCAGCCCCCUACCUUGCAGAAAUCCAUUAUGUGGAAUACCGUAGACUUCUUACAGCGGCUAGAUUAAAUGUCCUUGACUCUGCGAUAUUGUGGGGAAGGUACAGGGGGGUACCAUACGCCCAGAGAACCUGUCAUUGUGCCAUGGGUGUGGUUGAGUCCACUGAACAUAUUCUCUUGACUUGCCCUUCUUAUGCAGAGCUUAGACAAAAUUUUAUAGACCCACUCCUAUGUCAAUUCAGCUUCCUUCCCGGAGAAAUCCAGGUUUUACACUUGCUGAAUAAUGCCACUAGAGCUAUACCUUCCUUGGUGGCCAAAUUUCUCUUUUUAGCUUUUAAGCGUCGCAAGACUAUAAUUGACUGUAUUGAUAUGGGGCUAUCUGUUUAGCCCAUUUUAGUGUUGGCUAAGUUUUAAAAUCUUCCUGAAUGUUUUAACUGUGUAUUGAUAAAAUGUACUUUUUUCUGACUGACGGUCGAAUAAAAAGGAUGAUGAUGAUGAAUCAAUUCUAAAACCCUUUUGGUACUAGAUUCUGGCUCCUGUAACAUCAAUACUAAAUCAUCUGCAAAUGCUCUCAAUUUGUACUGUUUUGCUCCGACCUGUAUACCUUUAACCAACCGGUCCCUUCUAAUCAUAUUCAGCAAAACCUCCAGGACCGAAAUAAAAAGCAAUGGGGAAAU